UUGAUCCUGGCUCAGGAUGAACGCUAGCUACAGGCUUAACACAUGCAAGUCGAGGGGCAGCAUUGGAGUAGCAAUACUUCAGAUGGCGACCGGCGCACGGGUGAGUAACACGUAUCCAACCUGCCGCUUACUCGGGGAUAGCCUUUCGAAAGAAAGAUUAAUACCCGAUGGUAUAAAGAGUUCGCAUGUUCUCUUUAUUAAAGAAUUUCGGUAAGCGAUGGGGAUGCGUUCCAUUAGAUUGUUGGCGGGGUAACGGCCCACCAAGUCUACGAUGGAUAGGGGUUCUGAGAGGAAGGUCCCCCACAUUGGAACUGAGACACGGUCCAAACUCCUACGGGAGGCAGCAGUGAGGAAUAUUGGUCAAUGGACGAGAGUCUGAACCAGCCAAGUAGCGUGAAGGAUGACUGCCCUAUGGGUUGUAAACUUCUUUUAUAGGGGAAUAAAGUGAGGGACGUGUCCCUUUUUGUAUGUACCUUAUGAAUAAGGAUCGGCUAACUCCGUGCCAGCAGCCGCGGUAAUACGGAGGAUCCAAGCGUUAUCCGGAUUUAUUGGGUUUAAAGGGAGCGUAGGUUGACAUAUAAGUCAGCUGUGAAAGUUUACGGCUCAACCGUGAAAUUGCAGUUGAUACUGUAUGUCUUGAGUGUACAAGAGGUGGGCGGAAUUCGUGGUGUAGCGGUGAAAUGCUUAGAUAUCACGAAGAACUCCAAUUGCGAAGGCAGCUCACUGGGGUACAACUGACACUGAGGCUCGAAAGUGUGGGUAUCAAACAGGAUUAGAUACCCUGGUAGUCCACACAGUAAACGAUGAAUACUCGCUGUUUGCGAUAUACAGUAAGCGGCCAAGCGAAAGCAUUAAGUAUUCCACCUGGGGAGUACGCCGGCAACGGUGAAACUCAAAGGAAUUGACGGGGGCCCGCACAAGCGGAGGAACAUGUGGUUUAAUUCGAUGAUACGCGAGGAACCUUACCCGGGCUUGAAUUGCAGAGGAACAUAGUUGAAAGAUUAUGGCCGCAAGGUCUCUGUGAAGGUGCUGCAUGGUUGUCGUCAGCUCGUGCCGUGAGGUGUCGACUUAAGUGCCAUAACGAGCGCAACCCUUAUCAUUAGUUACUAACAGGUCAUGCUGAGGACUCUAGUGAGACUGCCGUCGUAAGAUGUGAGGAAGGUGGAAG
rnacentral:rRNA from 1 species